UACGUAGGGAGCAAGCGUUGUCCGGAAUUAUUGGGCGUAAAGAGCUCGUAGGCGGUCUGUUGCGUCCGCUGUGAAAACUCGGGGCUUAACCCCGAGCCUGCAGUGGAUACGGGCAGACUAGAGGUAGGUAGGGGAGAAUGGAAUUCCCGGUGUAGCGGUGAAAUGCGCAGAUAUCAGGAGGAACACCUAUUGCGAAGGCAGCUCGCUGGGACGUAACUGACGCUGAGACGCGAAAGCGUGGGGAGCAAACAGG
rnacentral:rRNA from 1 species